AUCUUUAAAGAUUUAAUUUAAAGUGUAACCUGCUCAAUGAAUAUUUAAAUGGCUGCGAUUUAAAUCGUGCUAAGGUAGCAUAAUAAUUUGUCUUUUAAUUAAGGUCUGGAAUGAAUGGUUUAACGGGGGCUAUCUUUUUUAAUUUAUUAUAUUAGAAUUUUAUUUUUUAGUUAAAAAGCUAAAAUUUAGUUAUAAGACGAUAAGACCCUAUAGAAUUUUAUAUUUAAAUAUUAAAUAUUAUAUUGAAAAAUAUUAAAUAUUUAUGUAUUUGGUUGGGGUGAUUGUUAUAAAUGAUUAACUAUAAUUUAUAUAAUUCAUUAAUUAAUGAAUUAAUGAUCUUGAAUUUUGGAUUAUAAGAAAAAAUUACCUUAGGGAUAACAGCGUAAUUUUCUUGGGGAGUUCUUAUUUAUAAGGAAGUUUGCGA
rnacentral:rRNA from 1 species